rnacentral:lncRNA from 1 species
UUUGAAGCGGGAAAAGGAGGAAGACAAAGAGGCGAUUCUAGUGCUUGGUUCUCAUUGAAACGCUUCUGUGGACUCUGCCUUCGAGGCGUCUGGUUACUCCGGGUAGGGUCGGCUUUCUGCCCUCGCACAGCUUGGGGUCUGUGGGUUUACCUCCGCGCCUCGGCUGCCGAAGGCCCCCACAAAGUGCAAGCCUGCGAAAGGAAAGUGUCCACCUUGAGAGGUUGCAGGCUCCCAGGCUGUCGCCGCUGCUCACCACCGGAUCCGAUUUGGGUGGGCUGCGUGGUCUCCCGACCUCUCGGAGCCUUGUACGGCCUGACAAUCUCGCUUUCAAAUUUGGCGGGAGCCGCGUACGCCGAGUGGAGGGCGCGCGCGGCGAGCGGCGCACGCGCAAAAUGGCCUCCUGGUUACCCGCGGCUGCGGAUCGCGCGCUGAGGAAAACAGAGCGCCCGCUGCGCAGUUCGGAAGCGGAUUGGAGUUGUAGCUCUUUGCACUCCUUGAAGAGCUACUAGUUAAAAAAUAAGGAAAGGGAGAAGAGCCGUUUUCUCCUUGACUGCUCUUUUGGUAAAGGCCGCCCUGACCGGGAAGGCAGCGCUGCAAGCGAAGCGAGGUCAUUUCUCCCAGGUGGGUGUCCUUUCCACAGAGCGCUAGAACCGAAGAAGCGUUUUUUUCCGCUUUUGGUGGAAAGCCAUGGCUCUUCCUCACUCUGGACACCCUCGUCCUCGGCUUCAGCUUCCGCAUCGCGCAUUGUGCUCCCGAUUUCCCCUUUGUUGGAAUAUCUUACACUUUCAGGGUCAUUUGUCCUAAGUCGGGCUUGACAGACUCCUCUAUCUCCAGUGACCUCUUAAUUUACCUCUGUAGCGUUCUCAUCCCUCCCAUCCCAACUUGGGAGGAGUACCCAAGUCCGCAGACUUCCACCUAAGUGUGCCCUCAACUUGGGUUCUAGAUAAUGUAGGAGGACAUAGAGUUGGAGAUCUCCGAACUGAUAUGGCCCUUGGAAUCACGUUCGCUGUGAAGUUUGGAUCCUAUGAUGACCCAACAGUCAGAGCAAGAAGGAGUAUUUCUACCGAAGUGUAAAUUAUUCUGAGGGAGCAACACUUGCUGUUUUUAUAAGUUACUUCUGAUAAUCUCUGGAAGGAUUUUUUUUUUUUAAGGCAAGGAUCAGAAGAAUGAGAGUAACUUAAUUAAUUGAAAGUUUUUAUUGAAUACUUACUAUUUAUUUAGAGGGCUAAAUGAGAUUUCAGAAUGAGUUUUACCCUUGAACUUCUUUAGGAAACUCACAAGGAUCCUAUAAGCAGACUUCCAGUGAUAAAUAACUUUUGAUGUCGUCGACCUGAUGAAGACAGUGUCGUUAGUUCUUCAUGUGAGACCUCCAGAAAUUGCACACUAAGAAAAAGAAACUAGUGCAAAUAAAGGAAAUCCGUUUCAAGAACCCAAAGAUGAAAAAAAAAAAAAAAAACGUUAAAAAAUUAACUGCGGAAACAGGAAACACUCGACUGUGUAAACAUUUUCUGAGACUUUCAUAAUCAAAACUGGGUGAUCUUGAAAUUUGUAGAAAGACUUGACCUGCUCAAGAUCUCCCCCAGGGCUAUUUCCCAAGUCUGAUUUAUUGGGAGGCUGGAAUACAUAAUACCUUGUGCCUUCAAAUAGGUUCUGUAGAAUCAACCUAUUUGAUUCUAUGGUCCCAGUUCAAUUCAAGCGUGUGUGUGUGUGCGUGUGUGUAGGAGCCAGACACUUUUUAGAGCAAGUUUAGAAAUAAUCACCUAUACUAGUGUUCAUUUUGAAUGUGAAGAAACACUCAAGAAAUGAUAUAGCUAAUCCAAGACCUUGGUAUUAGGGUUGGGUUCUAUGCUCUGUACCACUUUAAAUGUCUUAAAAGCAUAUACGAUUUUUGAAAAGGAUUUAAUUAGUAUACUGCACAGACCUAACAUGAUAAAAACUCUAGCCAUUUUUUAUGUAAACUGAUCAAGAGCUUUUUGUUUGUAAUAAAACUCAAGGAAGACUAUAUGGGGGAACAUCCAUAAGGUUCAAAAAUACAAUAGAGCCUCUGUUUCAUGUAAGUACUAAACUAAUUCAGAAUUUCCGACUGUCAUUUCUGGUGCAAUGGGAAGAAAAAGAUGAGAGGAAUGAAGACAUUUAACACUUCCUUCACCCCAGGAUUUGAAAAGAGACCAGGUUCCAGGUGCAGAUUGUUUCUAAAAUCUCAUCCCCUCCAAAGAUUAUCAUAAGCUAUUUUAAAAGAUCAAAUGUCUUCAUUUCCUAUUGGUCAAUGCAAGUAGCCUUUCACAUGGGUACUUAAGGUCUUACUAAACUUUCAUAACAAAACUUUUAUCUUGACAGGCCUACACAAAAAGGAUAUUGAAAGAUUUCAC